rnacentral:rRNA from 1 species
AUUGAACGCUGGCGGCAGGCCUAACACAUGCAAGUCGAGCGAGCGGCGGACGGGUGAGUAAUGUAUGGGAAACUGCCCGAUGGAGGGGGAUAACUACUGGAAACGGUAGCUAAUACCGCAUACUAUCAGAUGAGCCCAUAUGGGAUUAGCUAGUAGGUGGGGUAAAGGCUCACCUAGGCGACGAUCCCUAGCUGGUCUGAGAGGAUGACCGGCCAAACCGGGACUGAGACACGGCCCAGAACCCUAAGGGAGGGCGGAGGGGGGAAUUUUGCACCAAGGGGGGCAGCCCGAUAGAGCCAAGCCGGGGGGAGUAAGAAGGGCUUAGGGGUUGAAAGGCCCUUUAGCGGGGAGGCGUUACCCGGCGAAGAAGCACCGGCUAACUCCGUGCCCGCCGCCGCGGUAAUUC